UACGUAGGGUGCAAGCGUUAAUCGGAAUUACUGGGCGUAAAGCGUGCGCAGGCGGUUAUGUAAGACAGGUGUGAAAUCCCCGGGCUUAACCUGGGAACUGCAUUUGUGACUGCAUAGCUAGAGUACGGCAGAGGGGGAUGGAAUUCCGCGUGUAGCAGUGAAAUGCGUAGAUAUGCGGAGGAACACCGAUGGCGAAGGCAAUCCCCUGGGCCUGUACUGACGCUCAUGCAUGAAAGCGUGGGGAGCAAACAGG
rnacentral:rRNA from 1 species